UAACGAAUCUUCCGCAAUGCGCGAAAGCGUGACGGAGCAAUGCCGCGUGUGGGAUGAAGCCCCUAGGGGUGUAAACCACUGUCAGGAGUUAGGAAUACCAUGACCAGCUCCAGAGGAAGGACUGGCUAACUCUGUGCCAGCAGCCGCGGUAAUACAGAGGGUCCUAGCGUUAAUCGGAAUCACUGGGCUUAAAGGGUGCGCAGGCGGACGCGCAAGUAUCUUGUGAAAUCCCACGGCUCAACCGUGGAAUCGCUCGGUAAACUGCGUGUCUUGAGCCCGACAGGGGUCAUCGGAACGGUUGGUGGAGCGGUGAAAUGCGUAGAUAUCAACCGGAACGCCAAAGGCGAAAGCAGAUGACUGGGUCGGCGCGGACGCUCAGGCACGAAAGCAUGGGUAGCGAACG
rnacentral:rRNA from 1 species